rnacentral:rRNA from 1 species
CAGUAGCCGCGGGAAUACGUAGGUGGCAAGCGUUGUCCGGAAUUAUUGGGCGUAAAGCGCGCGCAGGUGGUUUAAUAAGUCUGAUGUGAAAGCCCACGGCUCAACCGUGGGGGGUCAUUGGAAACUGUUAAACUUGAGUGCAGGAGAGAAAAGUGGAAUUCCUAGUGUAGCGGUGAAAUGCGUAGAGAUUAGGAGGAACACCAGUGGCGAAGGCGGCUUUUUGGCCUGUAACUGACACUGAGGCGCGAAAGCGUGGGGAGCAAACAGGAUUAGAUACCCGCGUAGUCCCUGUCUCUUAUAC